rnacentral:rRNA from 1 species
UGGGGAAUUUUGCACAAUGGGGGAAACCCUGAUGCAGCGACGCCGCGUGAUUUAGAAGGCCUUCGGGUUGUAAAAAUCUUUUCUAUGGGAAGAAAAUGACAGUACCAUAGGAAUAAGGACCGGCUAAUUACGUGCCAGCAGCCGCGGUAAUACGUAAGGUCCGAGCGUUGUCCGGAAUCAUUGGGCGUAAAGGGUACGUAGGCGGGUAAGCAAGUUAGAAGUGAAAUCCUGUAGCUCAACUACAGUAAGCUUUUAAAACUGCACAUCUUGAGAUAUGGAAGGGAAAGUGGAAUUCCUAGUGUAGCGGUGAAAUGCGCAGAUAUUAGGAGGAAUACCGGUGGCGAAGGCGACUUUCUGGCCAUAAUCUGACGCUGAGGUACGAAAGCGUGGGUAGCAAACAGG